GGGGCCUAUGGCCAGGCGCCCAGCCCGGGACGCGGUAGAAUGGCGGACGGAACGCAGACCUGGGGUUGGGUCUGUUGCAGUGUCCGCCCGAGCGGUUUGGGAAGUGCACAGGGCAAAGAUGGCGGCGGAGGAGCAGGAGGCGUUGAGGGAGUUCAUGGCGGUGAUGGGCACUGAGGAGGAAAGGGCUCGUUUCGUCCUGGAGACGGCUGGCUGGGACCUGCAGAAGCUGACUGCAGAGGUGAACAACCCUGGUGUGAUGUCCUCAGUGAGUGAAGAUACUCCAUUCCAGAGGAGGUCACAUCUGGGAGGCCGCCAUCCAAAAGAAAGCCACUCUGUUGGUGUAGGAAGUGACAGCUACAUUCUCCUGUGCCUACUGCAUAACCAAAAAUGAAGGAGAACUACUGUUUACAAGCUGCCCUGGUAUGCCUGGUAUGUUUGCCCUGGAGCAAUGAAGCCACCUGCAUCCCUCUUUCCAUGGACACCAUGAGAAGGGCAAGGAGGGGCAGAUGCUGCAACGCUCCAAGAGAGGUUGGGUCUGGAAUCAGUUCUUUGUGAUAGACGAGUACACUGGGCCCAACCCUGUGCUGGUGGGCAGGCUUCAUUCUGACAUUGACGCCGGUGAUGGAAACAUUAAAUACAUUCUCUCAGGAGAAGGAGCGGGAACCAUUUUUGUGAUUGAUGACAAAUCAGGGAACAUUCAUGCCACCAAGACAUUGGACAGAGAGGAGAGAGCCCAGUACACACUGAUGGCUCAGGCGGUGGACAGGGACACCAACAAACCACUGGGGCCACCUUCAGAAUUCAUUGAUAAGGACCAGGACAUUAAUGACAACCCUCCAGAGUUUCUGCAUGAAAUCUAUCAUACCAAUGUGCCUGAGAGGUCCAAUGUGGGUAGGAACAUCAGUUAUCCAAGUGACAGCCUCUGAUGCAGAUAAUCCCACCUAUGGAAAAAGUGCCAAGUUAGUGUAUAGCAUCCUUGAAGGACAACCCUACUUCUCAGUGGAGGCCCAAACAGGAAUCAUCAGGACAGCCCUUCCCAAUAUGGACAGAGAAGCCAAGGAGGAGUACCAUGUGGUGAUCCAGGCUAAGGACAUGGGUGGACACAUGGGUGGACUCUCAGGGACAACCAGAGUGACGAUCACUCUGACUGAUGUCAACGACAACUCAGCAAAGUUUCCAAAGAGUAAAGAGUCGAAGCUGGUCUUUGAUAAUGACCACUGCUCAGCGAGAGCCUCAUCUUUUCUUUCACUCCUAAUUUACCCAGCUUUCAAAAGGAAGAGUCUGGAAAUCCAAGAAUCAUUUUCGUGAUUCUUGCAAAAAACUAGAACAAGAUAGCAAAGACUUAAAAACACACCGAGGAAAGUUAAACAGUAUAGAGAUCAUGAGAAGAUCUUUUAGCCCCAAACACACCCACCACUUGGAGGGAAGCAAAAAUUCCAAAGUACACAGUUUGGGAAACACUGACCAGUAAGAAAGUCUCCAGUUUUGUGCCAGGAGACUGUGAAGAGUCUCUCAUCCUAGCUACCUGGAAGCCGGUAUUCUGCUAGCAUCCUUCAGAUGAAGAUGUAGAACACUCAGCUCCUCCUGCAUCAUGCCUGCCUGGAUGCUGCCAUGUUCCCGACUUGAUGAUACUAGAUUGAACCUCUGAACCUGUAAGUCAGCUCCAAUUAAAUGAGUGUUGCGUUGGUCAUGGUGUCUGUUCACAGCAGUAAGACCCUAACUAAGACAGUAUUCUUUAUACUGUCAGGCCCAUUCAGUUCAUGGCUUUCCACACAGUUCCAAAAUGGACCCUCCAAUUAUGGACCAGCUCUGGUUUCUGGCAUGUUCUCAGGUUUAGCUGCUUGGAACAGUUCUAUCAUUCAAUGUCUUCCCCUUUCCACCCUUCAGAAAUCAGCUAUUAUUUAUAAGAAACCUUUCUCUUAAGUAUCUCAUGAUCGAAGUCCUCUCUCUAGUCCCCACCUCCACCUCUCUCCUGGAGCUUCUUCAGAACCCAGGCCAGUCUUGAGGUAAAACUUAGCUGUCCUCUCACUCUCAAGACUCCAGCCUGGUUGCCAUAGUGAUCUGUCCCUUAUGCAAACCUGGGCACAUCACUUGCAGAUCUAAUACCCCUCUACCUGUGGAAAUAUUUUCCCAGGACCCUCAGAACCAAGGGACCUCCCACCUCCAUGGGAGCUCAGGAGGGAUGGGGGGGGCGUGUCAGACAUCGAGGGUCUUUUACUGCAGGUCCUACUUGUAUGGUCUUACAUGGACAGAGGAGAGGUUUAAAAUGACCAAGGGUGCACCCUGUCCUACCUGCCCCUUGCUCCUGUACCCCUGAAGCAGGGCUCUCUGGUGGCCUUGAGGCAUGGAUGGGGUAUGGGAUAAACAUGAGACAGCUCCCUUCUUGUAGGAGCCAGGUUUGUUUGUCUUGGAACACUUCCUGCAGGAUCGGAAACAGGGAACGACACAACAACUGCGCCCUCUUCAGGCCAAGACCAGUAGGUUCACUUGCACAGUGAGGCCUCUUGCCCUUGGUUCAGAUAGCACUUGGCUAAGAUAGUGAGCAGGCUCCCUCUCUUUUAAAACACAUCGCUGGCCUGGAGGUGGUGGCACACUCCUUUAAUCCCAGCACUUGGGAGGCAGAGGCAGGCGGAUUUCAGAGUUCGAGGCCAGCCUGGUCUACAAAGUGAGUUCGAGGACAGCCAGAGCUACACAGAGAAAAGCUGCCUCGAAAAUGGAAAAACAACAACAACAAAAAGAAUAGAGUUGAUAAUGCAAAACAAACAAAACCAAAAAACACAUCGCUGAAGAGUGACAUGCACACUGUGAGUUUAUAGAACUUAAAUAUAUGGUUCAGUGGGGGCGGGGGGAAUAAAUUCCUAAUCACCCGGAAGUUGCCUGAUGUCCCUGCCAAGUCCACAUCCACACUUUCCCAGCCAGAGGUGCACAGGAGACGGACCAUGCCGAUUCUUCUUGAGAGUUAUGGAGCUGUGUAUAAACAGGGUCUCCAGGCCCAGAUCCGCUGUGUACAGGUUCUUUCUCAGCAUUGUGCCUGUGCAACUUCUUUGUAGUGACUGUGUGGAUUUUUAACUUGCUGGGAAAUACUCCAUUAUGUGCUAUAUACAAUGCAAACUGGUACCUUUUGUUUACCCAGCUUUCCGUUUGUACUUGGGCUUUUUUCUUCUUCUUCUCCUGUGUGGGGGCAAUUACAGAUAGGGCAUUUCCUCCACUCAGGGCUUCUGUUCCAUGCCUAGCAUUGUCCUAUUGUGUUCCGGUCCUGGCUGUCUGUCCUGCUUUCCUCUCUCUCUGGGAACCUAUUUGGCUGCUGGGACUUAGGGUGUUUGACCUGGACCUUUGAUGGUCCUAUGGGGUCUCACACUACCUUGGAAGGCCAAGCUGUGGCUCUUAGUCCCUUAGAGCUGUGGCUCUAAGCUGUGACAGUCUUAGUCUGGGGAGACUGAGACUUGCUUCAUGGGCUUGCUUCUCUAUUCUUGCUGAUGCUAACAUCUGUGGGCCACCUUUUAGCACUGGUUGCUCUUGCCUAACUCUUGUCUGCAUCCCUUGGCUGUCAGCCAGUUGGGAGGCUUCUUGUAUGCCUCCAAUGAGCCUUCAAGGAUGCUUCUGGAACUGGGAUAUUUAUCAGAGACAGAUCAGGAAAGCCAGCACCAUUAGACAUGCAGCUCUGUGCUGCCUUGGGGACACAUUCUUGGCUGUCUUCCCAAAACGUUCGUGGUAUGGUACUGUCUGUCAGUAUUAACAAGCAUGGGUGUCCCUAAAUGUUUUUAUCUUUGUGUGUGUGUGUAUACUUGGGUGCACACAACUAGUAGUAUGUGCAUUCCUGCAUAUAAGUAUGCAUCUAUUUAAUUUGUAUGUUAUCAUAAAAUGUUUUUUCUUAGCUAGGCAUGAUGGUGUGUGUGUAUAAUCUCGGAGUCCAGGAGGCUGGGGCAGGUAGGUAAAAGGCCAGCCUGGGCUACAGAACAGGACCGAGUCUCAAGAAAACAGCACAAAACAAUAAAUAUGAAAUUUCUCU